CUCUCACAUUGCAAAUCGCACAGUCUCUAGCAAACAAAUAACUCCUCAGAAAGAACACAAGCUAGAGUCUUUUAUACCUCUCCUUCACAGUCUCUUCCCACAUCAACAAAAAUCUCCUUAGAAAGAACGAAACAAGUCUGAAACAAAGCUUCCAAACAACAAUAGAAACUCAACCAACGAUCAAACAAACUGUGGAUCAGGACCACUCCAAAUCUCCCCACACCUCUAUUCGAUAGUACCCGCUGCCCAGGGAAGCGACCGCCAAAUUCCAUUUGACAGGUGCCUUUAUUUCUUCAGAAACUUACAAGACUCUGCUUCGAUUCCUAAAGCUCUCUGCUGAAUGUUUGCUUCAAUCAUAAAACAAUACUGCACAUUGCUCAAAGGGAACUAGCAACAAGAAUUGCUUCAGGCAAGAAGAUGUCAAUCAGCUUGCUAUCACAUAUACAUCCUGGUCAUUUAGACUGGACAAUAUGUGUUAUAAUAUCUAGAAUAUGGGAAUAUAGAGGAAAGAAUGAUGAAGACCAUAUCAAACAUUUGGAUCUGGUGAUAAUCG